rnacentral:rRNA from 1 species
UAGGGGGCAAGCGUUAUCCGGAUUUACUGGGUGUAAAGGGAGCGUAGACGGCUGUGCAAGUCUGGAGUGAAAGCCCGCGGCUCAACUGCGGGACUGCUCUGGAAACUGUAAAGCUGGAGUGCGGGAGGGGUAAGCGGAAUUCCUAGUGUAGCGGUGAAAUGCGUAGAUAUUAGGAGGAACACCGGCGGCGAAGGCGGCUUACUGGACCGUAACUGACGUUGAGGCUCGAAAGCGUGGGGAGCAAA